rnacentral:rRNA from 1 species
GCAAGUCGAGCGGAUGAGAGGAGCUUGCUCCUCGAUUCAGCGGCGGACGGGUGAGUAAUGCCUAGGAAUCUGCCUAGUAGUGGGGGACAACGUUUCGAAAGGAACGCUAAUACCGCAUACGUCCUACGGGAGAAAGUGGGGGAUCUUCGGACCUCACGCUAUUAGAUGAGCCUAGGUCGGAUUAGCUAGUUGGUAGGGUAAAGGCCUACCAAGGCGACGAUCCGUAACUGGUCUGAGAGGAUGAUCAGUCACACUGGAACUGAGACACGGUCCAGACUCCUACGGGAGGCAGCAGUGGGGAAUAUUGGACAAUGGGCGAAAGCCUGAUCCAGCCAUGCCGCGUGUGUGAAGAAGGCCUUCGGGUCGUAAAGCACUUUAAGUUGGGAGGAAGGGCUCAUAGCGAAUACCUGUGAGUUUUGACGUUACCAACAGAAUAAGCACCGGCUAACUUCGUGCCAGCAGCCGCGGUAAUACGAAGGGUGCAAGCGUUAAUCGGAAUUACUGGGCGUAAAGCGCGCGUAGGUGGCUUGAUAAGUUGGAUGUGAAAUCCCCGGGCUCAACCUGGGAACUGCAUCCAAAACUGUCUGGCUAGAGUGCGGUAGAGGGUAGUGGAAUUUCCAGUGUAGCGGUGAAAUGCGUAGAUAUUGGAAGGAUCGUCAUUGUCAAAUUCGUCUUGCCGCACGAUUACAUACCCUGGUA